GAUGAACGCUGGCGGCGUGCCUAAUACAUGCAAGUCGAGCGAACAGACGAGGAGCUUGCUCCUCUGACGUUAGCGGCGGACGGGUGAGUAACACGUGGAUAACCCACCUAUAAGACUGGGAUAACUUCGGGAAACCGGAGCUAAUACCGGAUAAUAUAUUGAACCGCAUGGUUCAAUAGUGAAAGACGGUUUUGCUGUCACUUAUAGAUGGAUCCGCGCCGCAUUAGCUAGUUGGUAAGGUAACGGCUUACCAAGGCGACGAUGCGUAGCCGACCUGAGAGGGUGAUCGGCCACACUGGAACUGAGACACGGUCCAGACUCCUACGGGAGGCAGCAGUAGGGAAUCUUCCGCAAUGGGCGAAAGCUUGACGGAGCAACGCCGCGUGAGUGAUGAAGGUCUUCGGAUCGUAAAACUCUGUUAUUAGGGAAGAACAAAUGUGUAAGUAACUAUGCACGUCUUGACGGUACCUAAUCAGAAAGCCACGGCUAACUACGUG
rnacentral:rRNA from 1 species